AUUGAACGCUGGCGGCAUGCCUUACACAUGCAAGUCGAACGGUAACGGGCCUUCGGGUGCCGACGAGUGGCGAACGGGUGAGUAAUACAUCGGAACGUGCCCGAUCGUGGGGGAUAACGAGGCGAAAGCUUUGCUAAUACCGCAUACGAUCUACGGAUGAAAGCAGGGGACCGCAAGGCCUUGCGCGGACGGAGCGGCCGAUGGCAGAUUAGGUAGUUGGUGGGAUAAAAGCUUACCAAGCCGACGACCUGUAGCUGGUCUGAGAGGAUGAUCAGCCACACUGGGACUGAGACACGGCCCAGACUCCUACGGGAGGCAGCAGUGGGGAAUUUUGGACAAUGGGCGCAAGCCUGAUCCAGCCAUGCCGCGUGCAGGAUGAAGGCCUUCGGGUUGUAAACUGCUUUUGUACGGAACGAAAAGCCUUCUUUUAAUACAGGAGGGUCAUGACGGUACCGUAAGAAUAAGCACCGGCUAACUACGUG
rnacentral:rRNA from 1 species